rnacentral:misc_RNA from 1 species
GAUGAAGAACGUAGCGAAAUGCGAUAAGUAAUGUGAAUUGCAGAAUUCAGUGAAUCAUCGAAUCUUUGAACGCACAUUGCGCCCCCUGGAAUUCCGGGGGGCAUGCCUGUUCGAGCGUCUCAGGGACGAACCCUCGCGCGGGUGUACGCGCGGUCGUGGCUGCGGUGGCGUGCCCGAGGCGGCGGCCACCGCGCUGGAAUCCAUGGGCGGACGCCUGCCGCGUGGCCGAGCGUGAUAUGACGCAUUGGCGCUCGCACGCGGCGAGGCUGCCAGCCCUGGCCCGUCUGUCGGGCGGGGGAGAGCAAGACACGUGAACUCCUCGAAUCAGGUAGGGAUACCCGCUGAACUUAAGCAUAUCAAUAAGCGGGGA